AGCACCUGUACAUUUGGGGCAUAUAAACUUAGCAAGUGAAGUUUGCGAGGGCCUAGCAUACCUGACAAUAUAUAGCGGCCUUCUGUAUCCUGGGAAGUAUUUGAGACUUUAAACUGGCAACAUUUAUGAAUCAAGACUGCCACUCCGUUAUGCUUGCGGAGGGCGCUUCGAACUGUAAGCUCUAUCAUACAUUUUAUCCAUAAGAGAAAUCACAUGAGAUCUGUUUAAAUGGGUUUCUUGUAAAAAGGCAAUAUAGACCUGAAAUCUUUGCAUUUCCUUAAACAUCAGUUUUCUCUUCACAGGUGAAUUAAGG